rnacentral:rRNA from 1 species
UACGUAGGGUGCGAGCGUUGUCCGGAAUUAUUGGGCGUAAAGAGCUCGUAGGCGGUGUGUCACGUCGUUCGUGAAAACCUGCAGCUUAACUGUGGGCGUGCGGUCGAUACGGGCAUCACUGGAGUUCGGCAGGGGAGACUGGAAUUCCUGGUGUAGCGGUGAGAUGCGCAGAUAUCAGGAGGAACCCCGGUGGCGAAGGCGGGUCUCUGGGCCGAUACUGACGCUGAGGAGCGAAAGCGUGGGGAGCAAACAGG